rnacentral:rRNA from 1 species
ACGUACACUCCUACGGGAGGCAGCAGUGGGGAAUCUUGCGCAAUGGGCGAAAGCCUGACGCAGCCAUGCCGCGUGAAUGAUGAAGGUCUUAGGAUUGUAAAAUUCUUUCACCGGGGACGAUAAUGACGGUACCCGGAGAAGAACCCCCGGCUAACUUCGUGCCAGCAGCCGCGGUAAUACGAAGGGGGCUAGCGUUGCUCGGAAUUACUGGGCGUAAAGGGAGCGUAGGCGGACAUUUAAGUCAGGGGUGAAAUCCCGGGGCUCAACCUCGGAAUUGCCUUUGAUACUGGGUGUCUUGAGUAUGAGAGAGGUGUGUGGAACUCCGAGUGUAGAGGUGAAAUUCGUAGAUAUUCGGAAGAACACCAGUGGCGAAGGCGACACACUGGCUCAUUACUGACGCUGAGGCUCGAAAGCGUGGGGAGCAAACAGGAUUAGAAACCCGUGUAGUCCCA